rnacentral:rRNA from 1 species
UCAAUUCUUCGGAAGAGUUCCUUGGGUGAGAGUGGCGUAAGGGUGAGUAGCGCGUGGGUAACCUGCCUCAGAGUUGGGGAUAACUCCCUGAAAAGGGUGCUAAUACCGGAUAUGGUCUCCCGGCGCAUGUCGGGAAGAUUAAAGAUGGGGAUCCUUCGGAACCUGUCGCUUUUAGAGGGGCCCGCGCACCAUCAGCUUGUUGGUGAGGUAAUGGCUCACCAAGGCUUACGGUUAGCUGGUCUGAGAGGAUGGUCAGCCACACUGGGACUGAGACACUGCCCAGACUCCUACGGGAGGCUGCAGUCGAGAAUCUUUUGCAAUGGGCGAAAGCCUGACAAAGCGACGCUGCGUGGAGGAUGAAGGUCUUAGGAUUGUAAACUCCUGUCAUUCGGGAAAAAUUGUUUGGCGGAUAAUAUCCGUCGAAAGUGAUGGUACCGAAAGAGGAAGCCACGGCUAACUCUGUGCCAGCAGCCGCGGUGAUACAGAGGUGGCGAGCGUUGUUCGGAUUUACUGGGCGUAAAGGGUGCGUAGGUGGUCUAGUAUGUCGGAUGUGAAAUCCCAUGGCUCAACUGUGGAACUGCAUUCGAAACUGCGAGACUUGAGUACAGGAGGGGAGAGCGGAAUUCUUGGUGUAGCGGUGAAAUGCGUUGAUAUCAAGAAGAACACCGGUGGCGAAGGCGGCUCUCUGGAAUGUUACUGACACUGAGGCACGAAAGUUGGGGUAGCGAACAGGAUUAGAUACCCUGGUAGUCCCAACCGUAAACGGUGUGCACUUGGUGUGGGAGGUAUUGACCCCUCCCGUGCCGGAGCUAACGCGUUAAGUGCACCGCCUGGGGAGUACGGCCGCAAGGCUAAAACUCAAAGAAAUUGACGGGGGCCCGCACAAGCGGAGGAGCAUGUGGCUUAAUUCGAUGCAACGCGAAGAACCUUACCAGGGCUUGACAUGAUACUGCAAGCCACCCGAAAGGGAGGCCGCCUUCGAGGGUGUAUCACAGGUGCUGCAUGGCUGUCGUCAGUUCGUGCCGUGAGGUGUUGGGGGGUUAAGUCCCGCAACGAACGCAACCCCUGUGUUUAGUUGCCACUCCGACUUCGGUCGGAAGCACUCUAAACAGACUGCCUGUACAAGCAGGAGGAAGGUGGGGACGACGUCAAGUCAGUAUGGCCCUUACGCCCUGGGCUGCACACGUGCUACAAUGGCCGGUACAGAGGGAUGCAAUAUCGCGAGGUGGAGCAAAUCCUGAAAGCCGGCCCCAGUUCGGAUUGGAGUCUGCAACUCGACUCCAUGAAGUCGGAUUCGCUAGUAACGGCGUAUCAGCUACGACGCCGUGAAUACGUUCCCGGGCCUUGUACACACCGCCCGUCACAUCAUGAAAGCCGUCUGCACCCGAAGUCGCUGAGCCAACCCGCAAGGGAGGCAGGUGCCGAAGGUGUG